GAGUUUGAUCCUGGCUCAGAACGAACGCUGGCGGCAUGGAUUAGGCAUGCAAGUCGAACGGUUUUACAUUUAUGUAAAAUAGUGGCAAAAGGGUGAGUAACACGUGAGUAAUCUACCUUCAAAUUGGGAAUAGCUCUCCGAAAGGAGAAUUAAUACCGAAUGUGAUUAGUCUUAUGGAUUAAUUAAAGAUUUAUCGUUUGAAGAUGAGCUCGCGUCCCAUUAUGUUAGUUGGUAGGGUAAUGGCCUACCAAGACUAUGACGGGUAGGUGACUUGAGAGAGUGGUCAUCCACACUGGGACUGAGACACUGCCCAGACUCCUACGGGAGGCUGCAGUCGAGAAUCUUCCGCAAUGGGCGCAAGCCUGACGGAGCAAUGCCGCGUGUAGGAUGAAGGUUUUAGGAUCGUAAACUACUGUCACUGGGGAUGAAUACAAUGACGGUACCCAGGGAGGAAGUCACGGCUAACUACGUGCCAGCAGCCGCGGUAAUACGUAGGUGGCGAGCGUUGUUCGGAUUUAUUGGGCGUAAAGGGUUCGUAGGGGGUUUGUUAAGUUUGAUAUGAAAGCCUGAAGCUUAACUUCAGAACUGUAUCAAAAACUGACAUUCUAGAGUUUCAAAUAGGAGAGUGGAAUUUCUGGUGUAGCGAUGGAAUGCGUAGAUAUCAGAAGGAACACCAAAGGCGUAGGCAACUCUCUAGGUGAAAACUGACCCUGAGGAACGAAAGCGUGGGUAGCAAACAGGAUUAGAUACCCUGGUA
rnacentral:rRNA from 1 species